UGCGGAGGGAUCAUUACACAAAUAUGAAGGCGGGCUGGAAUCUCUCGGGGUUACAGCCUUGCUGAAUUAUUCACCCUUGUCUUUUGCGUACUUCUUGUUUCCUUGGUGGGUUCGCCCACCACUAGGACAAACAUAAACCUUUUGUAAUUGCAAUCAGCGUCAGUAACAAAUUAAUAAUUACAACUUUCAACAACGGAUCUCUUGGUUCUGGCAUCGAUGAAGAACGCAGCGAAAUGCGAUAAGUAGUGUGAAUUGCAGAAUUCAGUGAAUCAUCGAAUCUUUGAACGCACAUUGCGCCCUUUGGUAUUCCAAAGGGCAUGCCUGUUCGAGCGUCAUUUGUACCCUCAAGCUUUGCUUGGUGUUGGGCGUCUUGUCUCUAGCUUUGCUGGAGACUCGCCUUAAAGUAAUUGGCAGCCGGCCUACUGGUUUCGGAGCGCAGCACAAGUCGCACUCUCUAUCAGCAAAGGUCUAGCAUCCAUUAAGCCUUUUUUCAACUUUUGACCUCGGAUCAGGUAGGGAUACCCGCUGAACUUAAGC
rnacentral:rRNA from 1 species